rnacentral:rRNA from 1 species
GAUGAACGCUGGCGGCGUGCCUCAAACAUGCAAGUCGAGCGAGGCUAUGAAUUACCGCAAGGUAAGGCAUAGCCUAGCGGCGAACGGGUGAGUAACACGUGGGUAACCUACCUGGAAGACAGGGAUAACGAUUCGAAAGGGUCGCUAAUACCUGAUAAUAUCCAUCUGCCGGAUGGCGGAGGGAAGAAAGGGGAAACCCGCUUUCAGAUGGGCCCGCGUCCCAUCAGCUAGUUGGUAAGGUAAAGGCUUACCAAGGCGACGACGGGUAGCCGGUCUGAGAGGAUGUACGGCCACACUGGGACUGAGAUACGGCCCAGACUCCUACGGGAGGCAGCAGUUGGGAAUCUUAGGCAAUGGACGAAAGUCUGACCUAGCGACGCCGCGUGAGGGAAGAAGGCCUUCGGGUUGUAAAGUUCUUUUCUAUACGAGCAGUGCUAUAUAUAUGGAUAGUAUAUAUAGAGGGAUAGUAGUAUAGGAAUAAGCAACGGCUAACUCCGUGCCAGCA